rnacentral:rRNA from 1 species
CCUACGGGAGGCAGCAGUGGGGAAUAUUGCACAAUGGGCGAAAGCCUGAUGCAGCAACGCCGCGUGAGGGACGACGGCCUUCGGGUUGUAAACCUCUUUUAGUUGGGAAGAAGGGAGCUUGCUCUUGACGGUACCAGCAGAAAAAGCACCGGCUAACUACGUGCCAGCAGCCGCGGUAAU